GUCUAUGAUUUAUUGUCGCCCCAGUCUUAUUUGCAUCCAUUGCGAUGGAUACAACAUGGUGAUUGACUAUUCUCGUCUGAUUC
rfam:Brassica napus, WGS project CCCW01000000 data, contig: 5198